rnacentral:rRNA from 1 species
UACGGGGGGAGCAAGCGUUGUUCGGAUUUACUGGGCGUAGGGCGCGUAGGCGGCCACCGCAAGUCAGUUGUGAAAUCUCUGGGCUUAACCCAGAACGGUCAGCUGAUACUGCGGGGCUAGAGUGCAGAAGGGGCAACUGGAAUUCUCGGUGUAGCGGUGAAAUGCGUAGAUAUCGAGAGGAACACCUGCGGCGAAGGCGGGUUGCUGGGCUGACACUGACGCUGACAGCGCGAAAGCUAGGGGAGCGAACGGG